AGUCUUGGCUGAGUGGUUAAAGCGUGUGCCUGCUAAGCAUAUAGAUGAUUAUCUGCGUGAGUUCGAAUCUCACAGACU
rnacentral:tRNA from 1 species